rnacentral:rRNA from 1 species
AACGCGAAGAACCUUACCUAAGCUUGACAUCCUUUUGACCGAUGCCUAACCGCAUCUUUCCCUUCGGGGACAGAAGUGACAGGUGGUGCAUGGUUGUCGUCAGCUCGUGUCGUGAGAUGUUGGGUUAAGUCCCGCAACGAGCGCAACCCUUGCCUUUAGUUGCCAGCAUUAAGUUGGGCACUCUAGAGGGACUGCCAGGGAUAACCUGGAGGAAGGUGGGGAUGACGUCAAAUCAUCAUGCCCCUUAUGCUUAGGGCUACACACGUGCUACAAUGGGUGGUACAGAGGGCAGCCAAGUCGUGAGGCCAAGCUAAUCCCUUAAAGCCAUUCUCAGUUCGGAUUGUAGGCUGAAACUCGCCUACAUGAAGCUGGAGUUACUAGUAAUCGCAGAUCAGAAUGCUGCGGUGAAUGCGUUCCCGGGCCUUGUACACACCG